UAGAUUGUUAACGUGAUUUUUCCAUUUAAAAUGUUCAUUAAUAUAAGUGCCUUAAAAUUUUGUAAUUUUUGUUCGUUUUAAUUCAAUAUUGUCUACAAAAAUAAGUGACGUAAUACUUGGAAUUAAUUUUUUUGUUGAAGUUGGGUAAAAAAGCAUCCAUUUAGUUUUUUCUAUAUUAAUUGAUAGUUAGUUUGAUUUAAACCAGUCAGAAACUUUAAUAAGCUCAGUCUUCAUAUUUCUAAAUAAUGUUGCUAGAUCAUUGCUGGUUAAAAAAAUAUUUGAUUUUAAUUCAAUACAAGUGAGACCUGAAACAAGAGGCACGAUGUGUUGUUGCCUAAUAUGCCGAAUUGGUCGUUCAACGAUGCAAGAAAAAAAUCCUUUUAUAGAGCAAACCACUAUUGAGAAAAAACCAAAGGUGCGUUACAGCAAAUUCCUUAGCCCUUUAGGAAAAGAUUUGCCCCACCAAUUCUCUCAAAUAAUGUUAAGGCAAAACAUUCAAUCUUUAGCAGCUAAAGAUACCAAAUCAUCCGAACAAAUUGCACCUCGAGUUAUUUCCAAUAUAGAAUUAUCUCCGGAAAAAACUGUUCUACUGGUUAAAGCAUCCGGCGGGCCUCCAUGAUUGCGUGGUUUGCAGUUUAUUUGAUGAAUAUUUGUUAAUGUGUUAUAAUGUGGUUUUAAAUGUUAAUUUUUAUAUAAAUUCGAGCAUUUUCUGUUGUAUCAAUUCGAGCAUUUUCUGAUUCAUAGUGAUAUUUCCAUCUCAAACCAUGUACAAUCAAUCAGCUUCAGAUUAUAAUAGCUUUGAAACAAUGAUAAUGAAAGUUUUUUCAUCGUUCUAAAUUUAUGCUACAGUUAUGGUCGUAAAAGAUUAAGAAAAAUCCUAUGGGUGCAAUUAUUCCACUGACACCUGCGAAAUUACCAAAAGAACUGACCAUCGCUGUUUAUUGUAUUUUUUUAAAUGUUCUUGUUAAACAAUCUAACACUUAAUUA